UACGGGGUGCACCAGUUACGAAAACUCCGCAAUGCACGAAAGUGUGACGGGGCUAUCCCGAGUGCCGUCCGCUGAGGAUGGCUUUUCUCCAGUUUAAGGAGCUGGAGGAAUAAGGAGAGGGCAAGUCUGGUGUCAGCCGCCGCGGUAA
rnacentral:rRNA from 1 species